AGAGUUUGAUCCUGGCUCAGAUUGAACGCUGGCGGCAGGCCUAACACAUGCAAGUCGAGCGGUAGAGAGAAGCUUGCUUCUCUUGAGAGCGGCGGACGGGUGAGUAAUACCUAGGAAUCUGCCUGAUAGUGGGGGAUAACGUUCGGAAACGGACGCUAAUACCGCAUACGUCCUACGGGAGAAAGCAGGGGACCUUCGGGCCUUGCGCUAUCAGAUGAGCCUAGGUCGGAUUAGCUAGUUGGUGAGGUAAUGGCUCACCAAGGCUACGAUCCGUAACUGGUCUGAGAGGAUGAUCAGUCACACUGGAACUGAGACACGGUCCAGACUCCUACGGGAGGCAGCAGUGGGGAAUAUUGGACAAUGGGCGAAAGCCUGAUCCAGCCAUGCCGCGUGUGUGAAGAAGGUCUUCGGAUUGUAAAGCACUUUAAGUUGGGAGGAAGGGCAUUAACCUAAUACGUUAGUGUUUUGACGUUACCGACAGAAUAAGCACCGGCUAACUCUGUGCCAGCAGCCGCGGUAAUACAGAGGGUGCAAGCGUUAAUCGGAAUUACUGGGCGUAAAGCGCGCGUAGGUGGUUUGUUAAGUUGAAUGUGAAAUCCCCGGGCUCAACCUGGGAACUGCAUCCAAAACUGGCAAGCUAGAGUAUGGUAGAGGGUAGUGGAAUUUCCUGUGUAGCGGUGAAAUGCGUAGAUAUAGGAAGGAACACCAGUGGCGAAGGCGACUACCUGGACUGAUACUGACACUGAGGUGCGAAAGCGUGGUGAGCAAACAGGAUUAGAUACCCUGGUAGUCCACGCCGUAAACGAUGUCAACUAGCCGUUGGGAGUCUUGAACUCUUAGUGGCGCAGCUAACGCAUUAAGUUGACCGCCUGGGGAGUACGGCCGCAAGGUUAAAACUCAAAUGAAUUGACGGGGGCCCGCACAAGCGGUGGAGCAUGUGGUUUAAUUCGAAGCAACGCGAAGAACCUUACCAGGCCUUGACAUCCAAUGAACUUUCUAGAGAUAGAUUGGUGCCUUCGGGAACAUUGAGACAGGUGCUGCAUGGCUGUCGUCAGCUCGUGUCGUGAGAUGUUGGGUUAAGUCCCGUAACGAGCGCAACCCUUGUCCUUAGUUACCAGCACGUAAUGGUGGGCACUCUAAGGAGACUGCCGGUGACAAACCGGAGGAAGGUGGGGAUGACGUCAAGUCAUCAUGGCCCUUACGGCCUGGGCUACACACGUGCUACAAUGGUCGGUACAAAGGGUUGCCAAGCCGCGAGGUGGAGCUAAUCCCAUAAAACCGAUCGUAGUCCGGAUCGCAGUCUGCAACUCGACUGCGUGAAGUCGGAAUCGCUAGUAAUCGUGAAUCAGAAUGUCACGGUGAAUACGUUCCCGGGCCUUGCACUCACCGCCCGUCA
rnacentral:rRNA from 1 species